UGUGGUUCUAAAUAACAAGAAACAAGAAGAAACAAUUCUCACAUGUAAAUAUAUCAAUCGUCACUUCCCAACAUCAUGCCAAUAUAAUGAACUGUAACACAAAUAAUCAGCUGACUGCUCUGACAUAAGAAAGUCCCACAAUCUCAUUUGAACAGGCAGGAAAACAAGGAUAUCUGCAUAUCUCAGGCAACAGAAAAGACUUAAUGCUCUCAAAUUAGGAAAGGUCAGCAAUUACAUGGUCUUCAGUGCCCUCUAGUGGCUAAAUAACCCAACUGCGGUGCACAGAUCCGCCCGCAACAAAUGCUACGGUGGAACGCACACGGCUGGAGAUCGCUAUUCCCCCGCACUCAUGGAGAAAAACAUGCCUAGUGCUCCUCGGACUCGUGAUACGGCAGGACCGUCGUAAAAGCAUGUGACGUCAUCACCGCAGCAAACAGUAAGAACAAAGUGGAACUUAUCGGCAGA